rnacentral:miRNA from 1 species
GUGAAAUUUCACAAAUGAAAGGAUAUCACAUGAAAUCACAUGUGACAUUUCACAUGUGAAAAGAUUUCACAUGAAAUCACAUGUGAGAUUUCACAUGUGAAAAGAUUUCACA